UCUGGUGACAAUGGCAAGGAGGUCACACCUGUUCCCAUGCCGAACACAGAAGUUAAGCUCCUUAGCGCCGAUGGUAGUCGG
rnacentral:rRNA from 3 species